GGUCUUGUAUUCAAUAUAUGAUUUUAGAUUGCAAAUCUAAAGGUGGUUAUUCCCAAGGCUUA
rnacentral:tRNA from 1 species